AACAAUACCUUAACGCACACCGCAAAACAAAACAAAAAACCGCACGAUGAGGAACAACAAGUGUGCAUUGACCAAUGAAGCCGAGUUUUAGUACAAACCCACACUGCGUUGUUCUUCUUCUGUUCUGCUUUGCCUUUUACUUACUCAACAACAACUCAAUUAUAAAACCCCUGCAUAUCCCUCACACUUUCUUCCCUUUCCCCCUCUCUCUUCAACCCCCAAAACCAACCCUCAUCUUCUGCUUCCUUCUUAUCGGAGAUUAGAUAGCAAGUAAUGAUGGAUGCGCUGAUAAAGGUGUUGUAGUUCAACGCCGCAAAACCAUAAAAAUCGUUUCUUUUCGUCUUAUGGCAUGUCUGAGGAGGAAGAAGCACUGCGUCCAAGGCCAACAACGCGUUUCAUUUUCAAAUUUUGAUCAUCCUCGCCAGUCAAAUAUGUACUUGAUUCUUCGCUUCUUCUGCCCCUUCUCUAUACUCUUCUUCACUCCAAUAGCUUCUGUGCAAGCGUUCACCGGAACAUAUGGUAUAAAUUAUGGUAGGAUUGCAAAUAAUAUUCCUUCACCCGAUGAAGUUGUUACUCUUCUCAGAGCAGAAAAAAUAAGGAACGUUAGAAUCUACGAUGCUGAUCACAGUGUUCUCAAGGCAUUUAGUGGAACUGGGCUUGAAAUUGUAGUGGGGCUCCCCAACGGGCAGCUGCAAGACAUGAGUUCGAAUCCAGACCAUGCUUUGAACUGGGUAAAAGAAAAUGUACAGUCAUUUCUUCCUGAUACACGCAUUCGUGGAAUUGCUGUAGGCAAUGAAGUUUUGGGUGGCGGUGACUAUUCUUUGUGGGGAGUUCUUCUGGGCGCUGUUAAAAAUAUUUACAAUGCUACCGUGAAACUUCAUCUAGAUCAACUGGUUCAGAUUUCUACUGCAAACUCGUUUGCAGUUUUUUCGCAGUCCUACCCUCCCUCCUCUGGUAAAUUUGAUGAUAAUGUUAAUCAGUUUAUGAAGCCACUACUGGAGUUCUUCCAGCAGAUUGGCUCUCCUUUCUGUGUGAAUGCUUACCCUUUCCUAGUCUAUGCGAGUGAUCCUGAACAUAUUGAUAUAAAUUAUGCACUUUUUGAACCUACAAAGGGAAUUUAUGAUCCAACGUAUCGUCUGCAUUAUGAUAACAUGCUCGAUGCUCAGAUUGAUGCUGCCUAUGCUGCUUUGGAGGAUGCUGGAUUUGACAAAAUGGAAGUCAUAAUUACUGAGACUGGCUGGGCCUCUAAUGGAGAUCAAACUGAAGCUGGAGCAAAUGCAACUAAUGCAAGGACAUAUAAUUAUAACCUGCGUAGAAGGCUUGCGAAGAGGAAAGGAACCCCACAUAGACCUAAAAAUGUUGUGAAGGCAUACAUUUUUGCAUUAUUCAACGAGAACGAGAAGCCUGGGCAUUCAUCUGAGAAGAACUAUGGACUGUUCAAGGCUGAUGGAAGUAUAUCAUAUGACAUUGGUUUUCAUGGACUUAAUGCUGGACAUUCAUCUCUGUUAUCUCUUAAGAAUAUCAAUACUCAAGGUUUAUCCCGGUCAUACGCGAUGGUAUUCUUUUUAUCUUCUUUGAUACUGCUGAUUUUCUGGAGUUAGUGAUCUUAUGAUAUCAACCUGCUCGGCAAACCAGUUCCUACCAAUGAAAUGAGUUUAACUUGGCUCCACUUCAUGUCUCAAUAGAUCAAAUUAUACCAUUGAUUGUCAUAUUUCAUAAAGCAAUAUCUAGAAAUGCUGAUGUUCAGCAAACGUGUAAUUAUGUCACUUGAGAAAGCAUUUUCCUUCGACGAGAUCUAGAAUUUUUCAGUUUUUACUAAUACAUUCCAAAUUUUGGACACUAGUUUCAAUUUUAUCAAAUACACUAAAUUUUGUAA